UUUUUGUGUCGCGUCAAGAAUUCCUGUAGCAAGGUUUUCACACCCAGCAGCUGGCUUCCAGUUGAGUUAGUCUCUGAUGUUUGCAGCAGACAUCAUGGCGACUGCAGCAAUAGAUGAUCUGCCUCCUCUGAAGUGCAGUAGCAGCUAUGAGAUGCUGCCACCUUACAUGUCUGAGCUGAGGGUUGUUCUGCUGGGAAACAGCUGCUCUGAGAGGAAAUCAGUGGGGAACUUGAUACUGGGAGAGACUGUGUUCAACAAAGCACCUGAAUGUUGUUUGAGAAUCAGUGGAUCGUUGCAGGAGAAAAAAGUAGUUGUCGUCAACA